GAGGCGUUAAAUCAAAAGACGGAAUCUAAGCAUGUAGAGCCAAUGGGCGCGUGCUGGCGGACGCGGGUUCAAUUCCCGCCGCCUCCACCA
rnacentral:tRNA from 1 species